UUUAGUUACUUAAAGAAAUAAAUGUGUGUAUAUAUAAAAAACACUAAAAAAGUUGAAUGAGGUGAGCUUUUUUUAUCCCAUUCAUACUUCAUUGCUUUUGUAAGAUGUAACUUCUGGCCUUUAAAAAUUAAACCGUGAGGGUUAGGUUUUGUGGGGUUUCUUUUACAAAUGUUACAAGAGAUCACUGAUAUUGAACUACUUGUUACCAACUCUCACCUGCAACUAUUAAAAUGAUCCACUUCUACCUAAACCACUUUUAUCUAGAAACACCAGCCUUCCUAAACUUUGAAAAGUAGGGAGUGCCAGAUAAAUAGGACUGAGAUUCAACAGAGCCAUAAUUUACAAAAUCAAAGGCAAUCAGUUUAGCUUGUCUCUUGGCCAAUUAUUAGAAAUCUGGUAUUUUCAUGUUACAAAGACUUUACUGCGUUAAUGAAAUCUAAGAAGUGCCUUGUUUAUCACUCGACUUGAAAACUGAAAUACAAAAAUGUAAGUAUAGCACUUCUGUGAAUGCUUUACAUGAAAACAAAUAAAAGAUUUUUAAUUCCUGUGCAUGAGAGAACAGGGCAUGGGAAAGAAAGGAAGAAAUUCUAGCACCACAUAUAUUGGAGACAAAAAGGAAAGGUAAGUUGCUUCCAAAUCUGAGGGGAAGGUGUCUGUCCGUGGCCUUAAUUAGAUUUGGACAUCCUGAAAUCACUUAAUUUAUGAAAUUCCAGUGUGCAUUAAGAAUAAAACAUUGUAAUCUAAAUAUAUUGAACAUAAGACAGUGAUAAAACAGUUUGUGCUUUGCCACAUAUCACACAUUCAGCAGUGUUUGACCACUGGAUAUCCAUGGGGUU